ACGGGAGGCAGCAGUGGGGAAUAUUGGGCAAUGGGCGAAAGCCUGACCCAGCAACGCCGCGUGAAGGAAGAAGGUCUUCGGAUUGUAAACUUCUUUUAUGAGGGACGAAGGACGUGACGGUACCCCAUGAAUAAGCCACGGCUAACUACGUGCCAGCAGCCGCGGUAAUACGUAGGUGGCAAGCGUUAUCCGGAUUUACUGGGUGUAAAGGGCGCGUAGGCGGGGAUGCAAGUCAGAUGUGAAAUCCAUGGGCUCAACUCAUGAACUGCAUUUGAAACUGUAUCUCUUGAGUGCCGGAGAGGUAGAUGGAAUUCCUAGUGUAGCGGUGAAAUGCGUAGAUAUUAGGAAGAACACCAGUGGCGAAGGCGAUCUACUGGACAGUAACUGACGCUGAGGCGCGAAAGCGUGGGGAGCAAACAGGAUUAGAUACCCUGGUA
rnacentral:rRNA from 1 species